UGUCCCUUCUUCUUGUCCUCUACGACCUUGGGUUGCAAGGAGCCAACCCGGGGAGGACUCGAGGCUCAGUGGCGUUCCUUACGGCCGUCCGGGAUCCCCUCUCCUUCUUCUUUUAAUCCAUCUGGUUGAGUUUGUUUUCCACUUUUAGCCAUUGAACAAUCUUUGCUGCUGGAGAUGAGAUCCAUAUCUAAUUGAAAGAUAUUUGCUGCUGGAGAUGAGAUCCACAUCUAAUUGAACGAUCUUUUGCUGCAGGAGAUGAGAUCCACAUCUAAUUUUAUAGAAAUCACAGUUCGAGCUGCUCUGGAAAGGUCUCAACUCAGCUGCGCUUCUUCCUUGCUCAGGCGUUUGUUGAUUUCUCUGAAUAUUGGUUGGACAUUGCCCAUGUAGCACUCACCCAAGUGUGUACUAUGCUAAUAUCUACCACGACAUGACGGGCGGGAGUCC